GAUGAAGAACGUAGUGAAAUGCGAUAAGUAGUGUGAAUUGCAGAAUUCAGUGAAUCAUCGAAUCUUUGAACGCACAUUGCGCCCCUUGGUAUUCCAUGGGGCAUGCCUGUUCGAGCGUCAUCUACACCCUCAAGCUCUGCUUGGUGUUGGGCGUCUGUCCCGCCUUUGCGCGUGGACUCGCCCCAAAUUCAUUGGCAGCGGUCCUUGCCUCCUCUCGCGCAGCACAUUUGCGCUUCUCGAGGUGCGCGGGCCGCGUCCACGAAGCAACUAUUACCGUCUUUGACCUCGGAUCAGGUAGGGAUACCCGCUGAACUUAAGCAUAUCAAUAAGCGGAGGA
rnacentral:misc_RNA from 1 species